GUAAGGAAUAUUGGUCAAUGGGCGCAAGCCUGAACCAGCCAUGCCGCGUGCAGGAAGACGGCCCUCCGGGUUGUAAACUGCUUUUGUACGGGAAUAAACCUCUCUACGUGUAGGGAGCUGAAUGUACCGUAAGAAUAAGGAUCGGCUAACUCCGUGCCAGCAGCCGCGGUAAUACGGAGGAUCCAAGCGUUAUCCGGAUUUAUUGGGUUUAAAGGGUGCGUAGGCGGCCUGUUAAGUCAGGGGUGAAAGACGGUGGCUCAACCAUCGCAGUGCCCUUGAUACUGAUGGGCUUGAAUAGACUAGAGGUAGGCGGAAUGUGACAAGUAGCGGUGAAAUGCAUAGAUAUGUCACAGAACACCGAUUGCGAAGGCAGCUUACUAUGGUCUGAUUGAAGCUGAGGCACGAAAGCGUGGGGAUCGAACAGGAUUAGAAACCCUAGUAGUCC
rnacentral:rRNA from 1 species